rnacentral:rRNA from 1 species
CCUACGGGAGGCAGCAGUGAGGAAUAUUGGUCAAUGGACGAGAGUCUGAACCAGCCAAGUAGCGUGAAGGAUGACUGCCCUAUGGGUUGUAUACUUCUUUUAUAUGGGAAUAAAAUGUUCCACGUGUGGGAUUUUGUAUGUACCAUAUGAAUAAGAAUCGUCUAACUCCGUGCCAGCAGCCGCGGUAAUACGGAGGAUGCGAGCGUUAUCCGGAUUUAUUGGGUUUAAAGGGAGCGUAGUUGGAUUGUUAAGUCAGUUGGGAAAGUUUGCGGCUCAAACGUAAAAUGGCAGUUGAAACUGGCAGUAUUGAGGACAGUAGAGGUGGGCGGAAAUCGUGGUGUAGCGGUGAAAUGCUAA